CGAACAGAAGCGACUAGAAAUUGACGUACAGCGAGAGCACAGUUACAAAGCAUAAAAUUAAAAUGUGCAGCUUUUAGUUGGCCUUCGUCAUAUGCUAUUCAUACGAUGUCUGUUUCCAUGAUGACGAUAUGUUUGUUUGCCCCACUGCGACAGGGCACAGUGGACUGUCUAUAGAAUAUUAAAUUAAUUCUUAAAAUUAACUUAUUUAUAUUUUUUAUUUUUUAUUAUAGAUUUCUCAAGAGCUUAUUCUUGGCUCAAUCUGUACAUUCAUAUGCCGGACUUACUGGGCGACCUAAGAAUAUUAUAUAUGUAGUUAAACUAAUGUAUCAAUUCAAGUAUUCGAGGAAUAAGUUUAAAUAAUGCGAUUAAAACUUUAAGUUGCGGUUUAUUAAUACAUACUGUUUCUCUUUUUCUAGAAUAAAUUAUAUAAAUAUAUUCAACUGAUGAAAAUGGCAUAAUGAUUGAGGAUCAGAAAGAGCAAUCGACUAUAGAUUGGUUCAGCUGUUCAUCUCUCUUUGGAAACCAUCUUAGUUCACUCCAAGUUGUCUGAGAGAUCGCUUGAACUAUAUAUGUAACUUGAAAAAUUGAAGUUUAUGGCAUCGGCCUAUCAUAUAUAUAAAUUACAAUUGUUUGCUGACCACUGUGCCACUUGCUGGUCGGCUGGCUUUCGAGGGACUUGCUUGACCCGUGGACCAGCUACAUUCGACCAUCCAGCCAUCCAGCCAUCCAUCCAUCCAACCAUUCGACCGACCAUCCGCCGCCCACUCUCGCUCGUUCGCUCAAUUUUGGCUGCUUAUGGCCACUUGUAACAUAUUUUUUGGGCAGCGGAUUAGUUGCACGCCAUGUUGCCACUUGAAGUGUUUAUGUGUCACAUACACACACACACAGGCACACUCCCACACACACACACACACACACACGCUUAUACACAAACACUAGCAUAAGUAUAUCAUGCGACACUUAAUAAAAACAAUGUGCUCAACAUGCCGCCUUAAAUGGAAA